rnacentral:rRNA from 1 species
UGGGGAAUAUUGGACAAUGGGCGAAAGCCUGAUCCAGCCAUGCCGCGUGAGUGAUGAAGGCCUUAGGGUUGUAAAGCUCUUUCAGCGGGGAAGAUAAUGACGGUACCCGCAGAAGAAGCCCCGGCUAACUUCGUGCCAGCAGCCGCGGUAAUACGAAGGGGGCUAGCGUUGUUCGGAAUCACUGGGCGUAAAGCGCGUGUAGGCGGAUCGUUAAGUCGGGGGUGAAAUCCUGAGGCUCAACCUCAGAACU